rnacentral:rRNA from 1 species
GACGAACGCUGGCGGCGUGCUUAACACAUGCAAGUCGUGCGGAAAGGCCCUUUCGGGGGUGCUCGAGCGGCGAACGGGUGAGUAACACGUGAGUGAUCUGCCCUGGACUUCGGGAUAGCCCACUGAAAGGUGGAUUAAUACCGGAUAGGACUGGCUCCUGCAUGGGGGUUGGUGGAAAGCCUUUAGGGGUGGUUUGGGAUGUGCUCGCGGCCUAUCAGCUUGACGGUGGGGUAAUGGCUUACCGUGGCUUUGACGGGUAGCCGGCCUGAGAGGGUGACCGGCCACACUGGGACUGAGACACGGCCCAGACUCCUACGGGAGGCAGCAGUGGGGAAUCUUGCGCAAUGCGCGAAAGCGUGACGCAGCAACGCCGCGUGGGGGAAGACGGCCUUCGGGUUGUAAACCCCUUUCAGGAGGGACGAAGGCUCGCCGGUGAAUAGCCGUGCGAGUUGACGGUACCUCCACAAGAAGCUCCGGCUAACUACGUGCCAGCCGCCGCGGUAACA